UACGUAGGGUGCAAGCGUUUGUCCGGAAUUAUUGGGCGUAAAGAGCUCGUAGGCGGUCUGUCGCGUCUGCUGUGAAAACUCGGGGCUUAACCCCGGGCCUGCAGUGGGUACGGGCAGACUAGAGUGCGGUAGGGGAGACUGGAAUUCCUGGUGUAGCGGUGAAAUGCGCAGAUAUCAGGAGGAACACCGGUGGCGAAGGCGGUUCUCUGGGCAUUACCUGACGCUGAGGAGCGAAAGCAUGGGGAGCGAACAGG
rnacentral:rRNA from 1 species